rnacentral:rRNA from 1 species
CAGGCCUAACACAUGCAAGUCGAGGGGUAGUAUAGCAAUAUAUGAGACCGGCGCACGGGUGCGUAACGCGUAUGCGAUCUACCUUUUACAGAGGGAUAGCCCAGAGAAAUUUGGAUUAAUACCUCAUAGUAUUAUGAAAUGGCAUCAUUUUAUAAUUAAAGUCACAACGGUAAAAGAUGAGCAUGCGUCCCAUUAGCUUGUUGGUAAGGUAACGGCUUACCAAGGCUACGAUGGGUAGGGGUCCUGAGAGGGAGAUCCCCCACACUGGUACUGAGACACGGACCAGACUCCUACGGGAGGCAGCAGUGAGGAAUAUUGGACAAUGGGCGCAAGCUGAUCCAGCCAUGCCGCGUGCAGGAAGACGCAUCUAUGGUGUGUAAACUGCUUUUGUACGGGAAGAAACACUCCUACGUGUAGGAGCUUGACGGUACCGUAAGAAUAAGGAUCGGCUAACUCCGUGCCAGCAGCCGCGGUAAUACGGAGGAUCCAAGCGUUAUCCGGAAUCAUUGGGUUUAAAGGGUCCGUAGCGGUUUUGAUAAGUCAGUGGUGAAAGCCCAUCGCUCAACGAUGGAACGGCCAUUGAUACUGUCAGACUUGAAUUAUUGGGAAGUAACUAGAAUAUGUAGUGUAGCGGUGAAAUGCUUAGAUAUUACAUGGAAUACCAAUUGCGAAGGCAGGUUACUAUCAAUAUAUUGACGCUGAUGGACGAAAGCGUGGGGAGCGAACAGGAUUAGAUACCCUGGUAGUCCACGCCGUAAACGAUGGAUACUAGCUGUUCGGGGCACCUGAGUGGCUAAGCGAAAGUGAUAAGUAUCCCACCUGGGGAGUACGUUCGCAAGAAUGAAACUCAAAGGAAUUGACGGGGGCCCGCACAAGCGUUGGAGCAUGUGGUUUAAUUCGAUGAUACGCGAGGACCUUACCGAGGCUUAAAUGUAGACUGACCGGGUU